rnacentral:rRNA from 1 species
CCUACGGGAGGCAGCAGUGGGGAAUAUCGCACAAUGGGCGAAAGCCUGACGCAGCGACGCCGCGUGAGGGAUGACGGCCUUCGGGUUGUAAACCUCUUUCAGCAGGGAAGAAGCGAAAGUGACGGUACCUGCAGAAGAAGCGCCGGCUAACUACGUGCCAGCAGCCGCGGUAAUACGUAGGGCGCAAGCGUUGUCCGGAAUUAUUGGGCGUAAAGAGCUCGUAGGCGGCUUGUCACGUCGGGUGUGAAAGCCCGGGGCUUAACCCCGGGUCUGCAUUCGAUACGGGCUAGCUAGAGUGUGGUAGGGGAGAUCGGAAUUCCUGGUGUAGCGGUGAAAUGCGCAGAUAUCAGGAGGAACACCGGUGGCGAAGGCGGAUCUCUGGGCCAUUACUGACGCUGAGGAGCGAAAGCGUGGGGAGCGAACAGGAUUAGAUACCCUGGUAGUCCACGCCGUAAACGGUGGGAACUAGGUGUUGGCGACAUUCCACGUCGUCGGUGCCGCAGCUAACGCAUUAAGUUCCCCGCCUGGGGAGUACGGCCGCAAGGCUAAAACUCAAAUGAAUUGACGG